CUUAUUGGUGGCUGACGCUGGUGUGCUGCCGUGUAUAGGCUGGACGAGUCAACGUUGACAAAUCGUUUAACAUCCGAACUUCAAAGCCGGUGAGCUUUAUUUACAUCAACCUCUAAUCCGUCAAAAUCUGCACGUUGUAGCCAGAAGCGCUUUUGUGUCCAGAUUCGAUUUCUGCGGUGACCCCACACACUUAGCAGCCCCACAGACUGCCAGAGCAAAAGGAACAGGAGGCAGCUCAAGCCAUCUGUCCUAAAAUAAGACAUCUGGUCACAAGGCUGUGCCUCCGGUCAGGGCUCUUUGGGAACCAUCUGGCCCCCCCAUCCAACAGAACUGUUGCAAGUAAGACAUCGUCAGGCACUGGUGAUACUAAAAGAAGAGAGUGCCUAAGCUGAAGUCUGCCUGGUGGCAACUUUGGGUGUCCAGAAGAAUCAUGGAACCAAACAAUUCCUAUAAAUAUGUCCCAGGAUACCUAUCCGGGGCUCAACAGCCAUCAAAAAUCUUUAUUUUCAAGCAUCGAGUAUUGAGUUAUCAUGGACAGUAACAUAGAUUGUAUAUUUUCAAGUUGGCCAGGACCUUAACUCUGAUUUUUUUUUUUUUUUUUUUUUUUGCCAAAUUCAGUUACAUUCUAUCAGGCACGUGUUUUGGAAACAGGAACUCAAGAGGAUACAAGGUGAUAUCCUGGAGAGACUUUAACAGAAAAGAAAUUUCAUUUCCCAGAUAUACAAAUUAGAGAAGUCCAGAUGUGGGCUGGGUAGGUGGGGUACAUUUGAAUUUGUUAGGUUUAAGGUGCUUAAGCCCCUGGCUCAUCCUGUGUCUGUUGCCAUACAGCUAUGUGCCUGUUAGGCCCUCAAAGCUAUUUUGUCCCCAAAGAUUAGCUAACAGAAGUUAAGUAUAGAAUACUGGAGGUUUCUGAUAUUUUAUUAAGGUGAAAUAUAUUCAUUGUCAGAAAGGCUGAAAAGGUCUGUAUACCAGACCUUUAGAGAUUUAAAGAAGGAACACAUGUUGAAUGUUUUGAUUCAAGUCAGUCAUAACAGUUGUUAACCUUGCUGCAACAUCCGGGACUAACAGAUGACCUUACUUGAACAUCUAAUUCUGAAACUUCAUCUUUAAAAACUGAACUAGGUUUCCAGUUUCUGCAACCAAAGUAAAAGUCUGAUUUUAUUAUGCUAUCACUGUUCUGAGAUUAUGUUAGAAGACAAUAGGGUGGUAUUGUACCAGGGUGAUCCCCAGGGAAAGGGAGGUUCUAGGCUCCAUACCCCACCAUCAGGAAGGUAGAGCUGGGCAGGGAGGAGAAGCUAGAGGAGAUGAGGAGGAAGGGGAGCAGGAAAGAGACCUAGAGGAGGCACAUGGAGCAGAGAGACAGGUGGAGAAGCUGCGCCUGCUUCUCAGCCGUGGACUUGUACCAGGGACUUGGGGGAAGGAGACACUUGGGAGAGACAGAAAUGUGGGUGAGAGACACGUGGAGAGGCUGAUAGGGGCAGCCUUUAUCUUGACUUGGAUUUGGUUUUUGCACUCUUCCUACAGACGUUCCUGGCUCAUAAUGCCCUUUUAUGUUUCCUUUCCAGGAGGUACUUUAGACUGUAACAGGCUUUUGAACCUCAGCAGUCCUGCUUUGGCCCACCCCUGUUUGGCUGGGCAUUUACCCACCAGCAGAGGGGCAGUUUUGGUUAUUUAAUUGGAAAGUAUUCCGGUUAUCUAUAUUUUUUUAUUAUA